GGCGAAAUGGCCGAGUGGUCUAAGGCGCUAGAAUCAGGUCCGCUGAACGCAAAGAGACUAUCUAGUCCUCCGGGGCGAGAGUUCGAAUCUCUCUUUCGUCA